rnacentral:misc_RNA from 1 species
UCAAAAGCCAAGUCGGGGGCUGCAAAGCCUUCGUCUACACCCAUGUCUUUUGCGUACUUCUUGUUUCCUCGGUGGCGCAAGCCGCCGAUUGGACAAACCAAAACCUUUUUUGUAAUUGCAAUCAGCGUCUGAAAAUAAUCUAAUUAUUUA